rnacentral:lncRNA from 1 species
UGCUAGCUAUAAAAGAUUGGAAAUUUCUGAGCAUGGUCCACGGUUUACUCUGCCGACAUUUUUCAUCCCGUUUCUUUCAUUGUCAUCCUUAAGAAUAUGUUAUGUGUAAUUCAUGAGGAAAAAACAAAAAAAAUCAUGAGCAUGUCACUUAUCUUUAUAUGUGAUAAAGAUUUCCCUUGAUUUACAUAAACUUUAACUUUGAUUUUCUCGACUUACACAACGUAUUUUUUGAAAAUUACUUCGCCAAUGAACUUACUAGAUCGAUCGUUUUUGAAGCAAUUUAAAACAUUCGCAAUGCGUGUUCUAUCAGACCUAAAG